rnacentral:rRNA from 1 species
UUAUUUGAGAGUUUGAUCCUGGCUCAGGAUGAACGCUGGCGGCGUGCCUAACACAUGCAAGUUGAGCGAUUUACUUCGGUAAAGAGCGGCGGACGGGUGAGUAACGCGUGGGUAACCUACCCUGUACACACGGAUAACAUACCGAAAGGUAUGCUAAUACGGGAUAAUAUAUUUGAGAGGCAUCUCUUGAAUAUCAAAGGUGAGCCAGUACAGGAUGGACCCGCGUCUGAUUAGCUAGUUGGUAAGGUAACGGCUUACCAAGGCGACGAUCAGUAGCCGACCUGAGAGGGUGAUCGGCCACCUUGGAACUGAGACACGGUCCAAACUCCUACGGGAGGCAGCAGUGGGGAAUAUUGCACAAUGGGCGAAAGCCUGAUGCAGCAACGCCGCGUGAGUGAUGAAGGCCUUCGGGUCGUAAAACUCUGUCCUCAAGGAAGAUAAUGACGGUACUUGAGGAGGAAGCCCCGGCUAACUACGUGCCAGCAGCCGCGGUAAUACGUAGGGGGCUAGCGUUAUCCGGAUUUACUGGGCGUAAAGGGUGCGUAGGCGGUCUUUCAAGUCAGGAGUGAAAGGCUACGGCUCAACCGUAGUAAGCUCUUGAAACUGGGAGACUUGAGUGCAGGAGAGGAGAGUGGAAUUCCUAGUGUAGCGGUGAAAUGCGUAGAUAUUAGGAGGAACACCAGUUGCGAAGGCGGCUCUCUGGACUGUAACUGACGCUGAGGCACGAAAGCGUGGGGAGCAAACAGGAUUAGAUACCCUGGUAGUCCACGCUGUAAACGAUGAGUACUAGGUGUCGGGGGUUACCCCC